rnacentral:rRNA from 1 species
AUUGAACGCUGGCGGCAGGCCUAACACAUGCAAGUCGAACGAGUGGCGGACGGGUGAGUAAUGUCUGGGACACUGCCUGAUGGAGGGGGAUAACUUCUGGAAACUGUAGCUUAUACCGCAUACCCUCAGAUGUCCCCAGAUGGGAUUAGCUAGUUGGUGGGGUAACGGCUCACCAAGGCGACGAUCCCUAGCUGGUCUGAGAGGAUGACCAGCAACACUGGAACUGAGACACGGUCCAGACUCCUACGGGAGGCAGCAGUGGGGAAUAUUGCACAAUGGGCGCAAGCCUGAUACAGCCAUGCCGCGUGUAUGAAGAAGGCCUUCGGGUUGUAAAGUACUUUCAGCGGGGAGGCGUUACCCGCAGAAGAAGCACCGGCUAACUCCGUGCCAGCAGCCGCGGUAAUAC